UCUAAUCUUAAUUUUUUAAAAAUAGUUUUACUAUAUUCAAAAAAAAAAAAACCUGUGGUUUCGUAGUUUUUUUACUUUGCCCUUCUGUGGUUUAAAAUAUAUCAAUUUAUCCUUCCUGCGGUUUCAUUUUUAUCUUUUUGAUAGCUUUUUCGUUAAUAUUUCAUUAAAUUAUAUACAAAAAACUUCAUAUACCCAUCUAGAUUUAUCGAAUAUUCACUUUAGUACCCUUUAAUUUUAACUUUUUCACUGAUUUAAGAAAAAAAAAAUAAUAAAAUUGAUAAAAAAAAGAGAAAAAAAAAACCACAAGGGGGCAAAUUGAUAUAUUUUAAACCAUAUGGGGGCAAAAUGAGAAACUACGAAACCGUAGGGGGGUUUUUUGAAGUUUUUCCAAAAAAAU
rnacentral:lncRNA from 1 species